GGUUCCCUAUUGGUCAGUUUGAAAGAUUAUUUGGUUCGCGAUUGGCCAUCAUGGCUGUACAUCAAAUCUUGCGCGUCCAAACCGUUUACCCUCCCCCUUCGUUUGCGGAUAGGUUGAACAGCAUGCCUCCGAAUCAGAAACAAAAAGAGGCCCAAACGACAUCUAAGAUGUCCCAGUUUAACUACAAAAUAAGUUUUUGUUGUUGUUUCUUUUGAACAUAAGUUUAUAUAAUCAUACAUGUUGUUUAUAUUAACGAUCGCAUAGGUACGGAGGCUUGAGAGCAUCAAAAGCAUUGAUUUUACCACGAUAUACACACUGCAAUGUGACCAAACUUGCUAGCAAUGGAGUCUCCCUGAUAUUUAGCUACAUAAAGGACAUUUCUUAUUCCUUCAGCCCCUGGUUGCAGACUCUGGAAUCCUCUCUGCUCAGCAGUUAUUGAAGUGAGGAGAAGGUACAUCUCCAUGGCAACCAGUGGUGCAGACACGUUGAAAAGCUGUCGUCUCUUCUGGUGUCUGCAGAGGAGGAUCAAAGCAAAACUCGCAGCCAGAGAGAGAGAGAGAUUUUGGGGUGAACUAGAGGACGCCGUCUUUGUAGCAAACCAGGGUAACCCAGUUGCCGCUGCAUUGAAGGCAGUAUAUUUCUCUGUAAACAUAUUCAAUUAAGACAUCAAACUUCAAACCGUACGAUGAAAAAGAAUGUCAAUGAGAGAAAAGAGGGUUUGGGGUCAUACUGAGCGCUUCUGCGUCUGUUCUCGGAUUCAAAAGCAGACUUCUUUUGAUGAAAUAAUCAUCGCUUGGUAGAAGUGCAAGUUGUGGUCGAGACGCGCACGGAGAUGCAGCUGAAAUUUAAUG